rnacentral:rRNA from 1 species
GUGGGGAAUCUUGGACAAUGGGCGCAAGCCUGAUCCAGCCAUGCCGCGUGAGUGAAGAAGGUCUUCGGAUUGUAAAGCUCUUUUGCCAGGGACGAUAAUGACAGUAGCAGGAGAAUAAGCCCCGGCUAACUCCGUGCCAGCAGCCGCGGUAAUACGAAGGGGGCUAGCGUUGUUCGGAAUUACUGGGCGUAAAGCGCACGUAGGCGGGUCGUUAAGUCAGGGGUGAAAUCCCGGAGCUCAACUCCGGAACUGCCUUUGAUACUGGCGAUCUAGAGAUCGGAAGAGGUGAGUGGAAUUCCCAGUGUAGAGGUGAAAUUCGUAGAUAUUGGGAAGAACACCAGUGGCGAAGGCGGCUCACUGGUCCGAUACUGACGCUGAGGUGCGAAAGCGUGGGGAGCAAACAGGAUUAGAUACCCUAGUAGUCC